rnacentral:lncRNA from 1 species
AUGGGGUAUGCUCAGCCCAGGCUGCUCCCCCAAUCCCUGGCUGCUCCCCAAAUCCCAGGCUGCUCCCCCAAUCCCAGGCUGCUCCCCAAAUCCCAGGUUGCUCCCCAAAUCCUAGACUGCUCCCCAAAUCCCAGGCUGCUCCCCAAAUCCCAGGCUGCUCCCCCAAUCCCUGGCUUCUCCCUAAAUCCCAGGCUGUUCCCCCAAUCCCAGGCUGUUCCCCCAAAUCCCAGGUUGCUCCCCAGAUCCCAGGCUGGACCGGUGGGAGGGGGCAGAGCCUGCAGGGCAUCGGCAGAGGCCGGGCUGACCCCGCUUCAGCGCCAAAGUUCGCACCGAGUAACCCGGGACACGGAGCGAGGACAGACAGCGGGACACGGAGCGAGGACAGACAGCGGGACACGGGCUGUCAGUGCCCCAGCCUGCCCACCCCCGCAUUCGCUUCUCCGUAUGAUGAACUACAGGCACAGCAGGCGGCCGGUGCUGUUCUCAGACCGUGGGGAGCCUGGCAUCAGGGUGCCCGGCAACUCCUACGUUAAAACUGCCCGUCAACACGGGAAAAGGUGCCGCCACCCCGACCAGACCGCAGCAGCGGUCAGCGACUCCGGCCCAGUCCGGCCCAGCCCUGCCGAGCCCGGCCCAUCCCAGCCCAUCUCGGCCCAUCCCAGCCCAUCUCGGCCCAUCCCAGCCCAUCUCGGCCCAUCCCAGCCCAUCUCGGCCCAUCCCAGCCCAUCUCGGCCCAUCCCAGCCCAUCUCGGCCCAUCCCAGCCCAUCUCGGCCCAUCCCAGCCCAUCUCGGCCCAUCCCAGCCCAUCUCGGCCCAUCCCAGCCCAUCUCGGCCCAUCCCAGCCCAUCUCGGCCCAUCCCAGCCCAUCUCGGCCCAUCCCAGCCCAUCUCGGCCCAUCCCAGCCCAUCUCGGCCCAUCCCAGCCCAUCUCGGCCCAUCCCAGCCCAUCUCGGCCCAUCCCAGCCCAUCUCGGCCCAUCCCAGCCCAUCUCGGCCCGGCCCAGCCCAUGGGGGGGGGGGGGGGGGGGGGGGGGGCGGCCGGACUGCGGCGCUGCCCGGCGGGGCGCGGGCUCGUCCCGCCCGGGCUCCUGUGGAGGCGCUGGCGCUCAGCAUGGCAGCAUCGGCCCGAACGGGACGCGACACCAAUCGUCUCCAUUUUUUUAUCUCGUUCUGUGGAAAGUGCGGGCUGCCCAGCGCCCAUUGGUUUGAAAGAGGAAUGAAUCAUUCAUCUGAUAGCUGGACAGAGUAUUGUUCAGAAGAACACUUGGAGGAAAGGGAAAAUGACCCAUUUGAUGGACAUUUAAUUAAUCUGGCAGUGUCACAUUGAUUUGGGGUUUCAUUAUUUCAGAGGUUACUAUUUGCCACUCAUAAACUCACCUACAUGUAUGGUGGCAACACAUUCUAUCAUGAGACAUUACCCAGCAAUAGCAGGUACUUAGGUACUGCAGUUACGUGAAGUAAAUACGUGGCCUUUGCCCUCAGAGAACUUACAACCUAAUGCCAUGCCCUGGCUGGUUUUUAGUAGCAUUUUACAUUCUAGCAAAAUUUUAAGUGCUCAGGACUUUGCCUUAGAAACUAGAACAAUGCCCACCCUUUUGUAGGGCAGGGACACUGGGGCAGAUUUUCAGAACUGUGCAACAGUUCUGGGAAUAAUGUCUUCACAUCAACUGGUGGGUCAGUGCCACACAGGAACACAACCUUCAGGCUGGCUUUGCAAUUCCACCUCUGUGUGUGGCAUUGGUGGCAAUGGCAGGUGCAGGCACCCAUGGAUACAGAGAUGUGUGGCCUUAAGUAGGUAACACAAACAUGAACUGCACUGAAAAUCAGGCUUGAGAAAAAUACUGCAAGGAUCCUAAAGAGACAGAUGCAAAAUGCCACCCGUGGCUUCCAUCACACCAGCUGGAGAAUUUUAAGCUUUCUCAUAACAAUGAGGUAAACUGGUAUCUCAGAUUAUAGCUACUUAAAGGGUGAAUAAAAUCAUCAUUUUGCUUUAAUGUUGUAGUCAAUAAUCAUGGACAUAUGUGCUGCCUUGUAGUAUAAUAAAUUUUCUGUCUUUGCUUGUAGCACAUUUGCUCACCUCUGAAGUGAAGGACUUGCUAGGUAAUGGCAUUAUAUUUUGUGGGAACAUUGUUUUUUCUCUUCUAUUUUUUUUUCUUGGUUUUGGGUAAGGAAAGCAUAUAGCUAAGGCAGUUCUGCCAAUUCUAUCUUUGUUUUCAGUGAUGUGAGCCUAAUUGAGUCAUUAAGGCAUGUAUAUACCAAGGAUGUUCUCUGACAGACUCAUGUUCUCUAGGACGUCAGCAAGGCUGAUCCUGAGUCAUUAAAGCAUGUGUAUCCCAAGGAUGUUCUCUGACAGAUUCAUGUUCUCUAGGACGUCAGCAAGGCUGAUCUCAUAUUGUAUUUUUAUCCCGAUUUCUGGGACCAAUAAUUGUUCUAUCACAAAUAAUGAACUUUCAGACAGAUGUGACUAGAGUCUCUGGGCUACUUUUAAUCACAAAAUUUAAUCUUUUUGAAAAUUACAUUAGUCUUGAUCAGGGAUUAAUAAAGGGCCAGAAAGAACUUGAAGAUUAUUGUUUCUGGUUUUUAUUUAUAUGUUGUUGGUUUAAAUUAGGUAGACAAUGCAAAGUAGUCUUGUAAAUUGGCACCUGUUGUACAACAAAUUGUGCAACAUGGAAGACCUUGAAACACUCUGUUCUGCAUGUAUUUUUAGGUAUUUUCAGAUGAAUGGCUGUUACAAUUCAGUGUUAAAAUCCUCUGCCCAAAUUAAGGUAUAAUUGAGACCAAAUGGUGGUUCAACAACUCCAGUUUUAUUUUAUAAAAUUGUUUGUAUAGGAAAACAAGAGAGAAAGACAGAAAGAGUGAGAGAAAGGGAGUAGGAGAAAGGCACUGAUAAGCAGAAGAUAAUCACCACCAUGGAGCAUCCUAUUGGUCUUUCAGUGUCCUGGGCUUCUUGCUGGUGGGGUCUUACCCAGUUCAUUCUCUGAGUUUCUUUAUACAGUCCCUCAUUAGCAUGAGAGGUGUGAGAAUGUGUGUGUUUUACCACUCUGCUUGCUCGGGUCUCAAUUCAGUGAUUGUGGGGAGUCUACACUGAGGGUUGCAAUGGAAGGAUGUGAUGGAAAGCAUCAGUUUUGGUCCUGCCUUGGCAAGGCAGAUCUGAGACUUUGUUCCAUUUGUAGCCUGUGCAUAGGCACCCAUGAUGUUCUCUGCACCCAGUGUUGUUUAAGGCAUAUACUGCAAAUGUCAUUAACCCUUUACUUAAAAUGGCACCCGUCAUACAUACAACAUAAGAGGGUUGUUCCUCCACAGGUGCAGCACUUCAUAUUUCUCCUUGUUGAACUUCAUGACAUUUGUGUUGGCCCACUCCUCCAGCUUGCCAAGGUCCCUCUGGAUGGCAGCACUACCCCUGGGUGUUUCAGUCACUCCUCCCAGUUUUGAGUCAUCAGCACAAUUGCUUUUGGUACACUGCCCCAUCAUCCAGGUCAUUAAUGGAGAUGUUAAACAGGACUGAAUGCAGUACUGACUCACAGCAUACACCAGUAGUUACUGGAUUCCAACUAAGCCACGCUUCUCAAGACUCUCUAGACCUGGCCAUUCAGCCAGUUUUUGGUCCACUUCAAUGUCUGCUCAUCCAGCCUGUAUAUCAACAGCUUUUCUAUGAGGAUCUUAUGGGAGGCAUUGUCAAAGGCCUCAGUGAACUCCAGGUAGACAAUUUCUGCUGCACUUUCCUCAUCUGUCUGGUCACUCAAGUCAUUGUAGAACUUUAUCAAGUUGAUCAAGCAAGACUUCCCCUUGGUGAAGCCAUGCUGACUACUCCUGAUUAUUCUCUUGUCCCUAAUGUGCCUAGAAAUGGCUUUCACAAUUUGUUGCUUCAGAAGUAGUCAGAAGCUGAUGACAUCACAUCAGCAAUGCAAGGACAGUGCAAGUUGUAUUCUGAGCAUCUGGAGGAAGCACUUGAGAUAGCAGAAAAAUGUUCCCAAAAGAAGGAUUAAUUAAGGUGAAACAACAAAAAGAGGAUUCCUUAGUGGCCUAUACUGAGUGUUCAGCAGUGGUAGAAGGAUGUCAAGCAUAGACUUGAAAACCAGUGUCUAUCCUUAUGAGAAAGCAUUAAAACUUACAGCAAACACCAGUUCUGCAGACUGGAGGGAUAACUCAGUUUGAAAUAAACAUCCCAGUUAUUCAAUGUAUUAAAUGUUGUCAUUGUGUUGUUCCGACACCAGUUCUGCAGACUGCAGUGAUAACUCAGUUUGAAAUAAACAUCCCAGUUAUUCAAUGUAUUAAAUGUUGUCAUUGUGUUGUUCCAUAUGAAAAAUAAGGUGUGGAGUUUAAAAAUUUAUUCAGUACUAUUAAAAACACCAGUUCUGCAGACUGGAGGGAUAACUCAGUUUGAAAUAAACAUCCCAGUUAUUCAAUGUAUUAAAUGUUGUCAUUGUGUUGUUCCAUAUGAAAAAUAAGGUGUGGAGUUUAAAAAUUUAUUCAGUACUAUUAAAUUGUAGAAAUGAAUAAGCUUUUGUUUCAUCAUAAUCCUGUUGUAAUAAUGUGCAGAGGGGGCACUUUGUCUCACACAGUUAUUAUAAAAAUUUGAGAGUAACGAUAAAGUAACUAGAAAAGUCAGAGGAGCUACCAAAUGCAAUUCUACAUUUUUUCUGGUCUGGUUCAGUAUGGCCCCAGCUGCACUGGGAUCAUGAGUAACCAAAGCAGGAACAAAUGAUCAUAAUACACUUUUUCAUUGAAAUGAACACAUGACCUUGUGUCCUGUGAUAAUUAGGUAAUUUUUUGCCACUGAUCACAUGCAAGCAAGGCUAGCUAGAUAUAAAUUUUACUGUUGAUAAAAAGUGCAAAGAAUGAUACAGAUUAUUUAUGUGGUUAAUCAUCUUGCAUAUGUGUCUACUCACUCCUCAUGGGCACCUAUUUACUUCAUUUUCUGACAAAAGCAGAAUAGGUUUACUGAGCACUCUGUGCUUUUCUUAGCUGUAAACAACAAAAAUUCCUUAUUGUAAACUUGACUUUGGUGUAAUGUAGUAUAAUUUUAUAGCUUUAUAGUGAUUGUUUCACAGAUUAUUAUACUGCAUACAGAUUUGAAGUAGUUCAAACUGAUGUGCUGAAGAGACAGCACUGGAAAUUGUUUGUGUGUCACCAAAACACUGGUGAUACAUCAAACCUGUCAUCAUAUCCUCAGAUAUGCCCAAUUUGUGACAUAUGAGGGGGAAAAAGAAAAAUAAAAUCUAUUCAACAAGAUCCAAAUAGUCUGGUCUACAGAUUGUAUCCAUCUAUUUUGGGGGGGGUUUCCUUUUUUUUUUUUUUUUUCCUGAAGAAAAAGGCCUGAUUGCUCACAUCCAGCUGGAAGGUAAUGCUCCUGCCUCAGCAUAGAGAGAUGAGGUUGAAGAGUUACAUCCUUCUGUAGUGAUUUCAACUCUAGCCCAUGAGGAAGAUACUGCAGCCAUCAAUGAUGAAAACACUUUGUUAUUUAAACUCAGAAUCAAAAGGAAGAAACAAAACAAAACCCCAAAACAAAAAAACCCCAAACACCAAAAUAAAUUAUUCUAGUUCCCAAAAGCACAGCAUUGAUUUUCUGCACUAAAAUUCUUGAUAUUAGUUAUGUCUUUAGUAUAAAGCUCAAAAGAAACCGGAAAAUCAAGAAAAGACAUUAAAAACUUCCUCAUGCUUCACCAAGUCUAAGCCUAAAAGGAGUCUCAAACAUAUACAACCAUGCACAACAAGUCAAAGGCAUCUACAAACAUACAAAUGCUGCUGAUGGAUUUUUUUCAAGCAAAUGGAAUUAUAGAAAUUAUUUUUAAUAGAUGUUGAUAACCUUAGCCAUGCUUAAGCCCAGGAAAAACAGAAUCAUUUAGGUUGGGUGUGAUCUCUUCAGAUCAUCUAGUCCAGUGCAAGGCAGUGCAGGACCACGUCCGCUCAGGUUCUGACGGCUUCAAGGAUGGAGACCGCGCAGUCCUCCUGGGCCGGGGUUCGCAGCACCCCUCGGGGUUGGCAGCCGUGCACGCUGGGCUCUGCUGCGAGCCUUCCCGAAGUUGGGAGCGCCGUGCGGCGGCGCAGGGCCGCAGGACGCGGCUGGGGCUGCGGGAGAGGGCGGCCGGGAGCAGCCGGCCGGCGCUG